rnacentral:rRNA from 1 species
GCUUGUCUCAAAGAUUAAGCCAUGCAUGUCUAAGUAUAACUCUUUUACUUUGAAAACUGCGAACGGCUCAUUAUAUCAGUUAUAGUUUCUUUGAUAGUCCCUUACUACUUGGAUAACCGUGGUAAUUCUAGAGCUAAUACAUGCGUAAAAACCCGACUUCGGAAGGGUUGUAUUUAUUAGAUACAAAACCAACGCAGGGCUUGCCCUGGUUUUUGGUGAUUCAUAAUAACUUUUCGGAUCGCAUGGCGCAAGCCGGCGACGUUUCAUUCAAAUUUCUGCCCUAUCAACUUUCGAUGGUAAGGUAUUGGCUUACCAUGGUUACAACGGGUAACGGAGAAUUAGGGUUCGAUUCCGGAGAGGGAGCCUGAGAAACGGCUACCACUUCCAAGGAGGCAGCAGG